rnacentral:rRNA from 1 species
GACGAACGCUGGCGGCGUGCUUAACACACGCAAGUCGAACGGAAAGGCCCUGCUUUUGUGGGGUGCUCGAGUGGCGAACGGGUGAGUAACACGUGAGUAACCUGCCCUUGACUUUGGGAUAACUUCAGGAAACUGGGGCUAAUACCGGAUAGGAGCUCCUGCUGCAUGGUGGGGGUUGGAAAGUUUCGGCGGUUGGGGAUGGACUCGCGGCUUAUCAGCUUGUUGGUGGGGUAGUGGCUUACCAAGGCUUUGACGGGUAGCCGGCCUGAGAGGGUGACCGGCCACAUUGGGACUGAGAUACGGCCCAGACUCCUACGGGAGGCAGCAGUGGGGAGUAUUGCACAAUGGGCGGAAGCCUGAUGCAGCAACGCCGCGUGCGGGAUGACGGCCUUCGGGUUGUAAACCGCUUUCGCCUGUGACGAAGCGUGAGUGACGGUAAUGGGUAAAGAAGCACCGGCUAACUACGUGCCAGCAGCCGCGGUGAUACGUAGGGUGCGAGCGUUGUCCGGAUUUAUUGGGCGUAAAGGGCUCGUAGGUGGUUGAUCGCGUCGGAAGUGUAAUCUUGGGGCUUAACCCUGAGCGUGCUUUCGAUACGGGUUGACUUGAGGAAGGUAGGGGAGAAUGGAAUUCCUGGUGGAGCGGUGGAAUGCGCAGAUAUCAGGAGGAACACCAGUGGCGAAGGCGGUUCUCUGGGCCUUUCCUGACGCUGAGGAGCGAAAGCGUGGGGAGCGAACAGGCUUAGAUACCCUGGUAGUCCACGCUGUAAACGGUGGGUACUAGGUGUGGGGUCCAUUCCACGGGUUCCGUGCCGUAGCUAACGCUUUAAGUACCCCGCCUGGGGAGUACGGCCGCAAGGCUAAAACUCAAAGGAAUUGACGGGGCCCCGCACAAGCGGCGGAGCAUGCGGAUUAAUUCGAUGCAACGCGUAGAACCUUACCUGGGUUUGACAUGGAUCGGGAGUGCUCAGAGAUGGGUGUGCCUCUUUUGGGGUCGGUUCACAGGUGGUGCAUGGCUGUCGUCAGCUCGUGUCGUGAGAUGUUGGGUUAAGUCCCGCAACUAGCGCAAUCCUUGUUCACUGUUGCCAGCACGUUAUGGUGGGGACUCAGUGGAGACCGCCGGGGUCAACUCGGAGGAAGGUGGGGAUGACGUCAAGUCAUCAUGCCCCUUAUGUCCAGGGCUUCACGCAUGCUACAAUGGCUGGUACAGAGAGUGGCGAGCCUGUGAGGGUGAGCGAAUCCCGGAAAGCCGGUCUCAGUUCGGAUUGGGGUCUGCAACUCGACCUCAUGAAGUCGGAGUCGCUAGUAAUCGCAGAUCAGCAACGCUGCGGUGAAUAAAUUCCCGGG